CAGCAGCCGCGGUAAUACGUAGGUCCCGAGCGUUGUCCGGAUUUAUUGGGCGUAAAGCGAGCGCAGGCGGUUAGAUAAGUCUGAAGUUAAAGGCUGUGGCUUAACCAUAGUACGCUUUGGAAACUGUUUAACUUGAGUGCAAGAGGGGAGAGUGGAAUUCCAUGUGUAGCGGUGAAAUGCGUAGAUAUAUGGAGGAACACCGGUGGCGAAAGCGGCUCUCUGGCUUGUAACUGACGCUGAGGCUCGAAAGCGUGGGGAGCAAACAGGAUUAGAUACCCGCGUAGUCCCUGUCUCUUAUACA
rnacentral:rRNA from 1 species